AGAGAGGGCCUGAUCCAAAGCCCAAUAAAAUCAGUGGGAGUCUUUCCAUUGACUUCAAGGGGGUUUGGAUCAGGCCCAUACA
rnacentral:pre_miRNA from 1 species